rnacentral:rRNA from 1 species
UUGCUCCUACGGGAGGCAGCAGUGGGGGAUAUUGCACAAUGGGGGAAACCCUGAUGCAGCGACGCCGCGUGGGCGAAGAAGUAUUUCGGUAUGUAAAGCCCUAUCAGCAGGGAAGAAGAAAUGACGGUACCUGAGUAAGAAGCACCGGCUAAAUACGUGCCAGCAGCCGCGGUAAUACGUAGGGGGCAAGCGUUAUCCGGAUUUACUGGGUGUAAAGGGGGCGCAGACGGCGAUGCAAGCCAGGAGUGAAAGCCCGGGGCCCAACCCCGGGACUGCUCUUGGAACUGCGUGGCUAGAGUGCAGGG